UAAUCUUCUUCCCGUGGAGACGAACGGAGUUCACUUCCGGCCAUCGUGUCGUCAUCGCCGAUUCAUACGAACAUAAUAAAAACCUAAACGAACUACGCAAACCCAACUAUGUUUAUCAUCUUCUUCAUCUUUUCAUGAAAUAUCCUCUCUCAUGGGUGUCGGUUUCAGUAAUUGGUGGAGAAAUAGCAAGUGUUGGUUGAAACUAAAGAGGUAGGGUUUUGAAUAGGUGGAGAAUUGAGAGGUUUGUGAUGAGAAUGAGGGGAUGAAAUUAGGGUUUAGAGAGUACACGAGAAACCAUCCACACACGCAUCCUGUAAGUAUCACCUCAAUUUUAUGAAUUCCAAUUGCGUUUAUGUGCUUGAUUUCUGAUUUAGAUACAAUUGGGUUUAUGGGUUUGUUGAUAAUUGGAAUUUCGAUUAGUAACUUUACUAUUUUUUGUGCCCUGAUUAUGAUACUCUGUUUGCACUGUUUACAUUGAAGCUCAAUUGAUGGGUUUGAUUUUCUGAUUAAUACUUCAAUUUUAUGAAUUUAAAUUGCAUUUAUGUGUUUGAAUUCUGAUUUUGAUUGAAUUGGGUUUAUGGGUUUAUUGGAAGUUGGAUUUUGAUUACAUGGGAACCGACAAUUUUAAGGUUUCGUGUUCAUGAUUUUAAUGGAUUCAAUGUAACUUUGCUUAACCUAACUUACUUAAUUGUCAUUCUGUGUUUUGUUCAUCAACUGUUGUUACUGGUUACUUUCGAUUCAAACUAACUUAUGAGCAGAAUGCCUGUUUCUUUUUUUACAUGAGUUCGUAAUUCAAAUUGCGGCUUCAUGGUCUUCUUUUCACAUAUCUGUAUGUGUUCAUGUAUGUACUAACCGGUCUAUUGGUUCAACCUAUUUAUAUAUAUGUAUGUGUAUGUCUCUGUUUUGAACCUAAUAAAUCCAAUUUGGGGGUAGCAUUCAGGGCAAAAGUGCACGUUCUGCAGGAGCUUCAAUGAGCACUAAAGCCACAAGGUGAUGGUAACUUUAACUCACAUGCAACACGAAAACCACAAGGUGAUGGUAUUGUGAAAAAAUGUGCUGGUUUGCCUUUGGCUAUCAAGGCAAUCGGAAGGCUAUUGAGAACGAAAACAGAUGGUGAAGAUUGGGAUGACCUGUUGAAUAGUGAGAUAUGGGAGGAAAUGCAAAUGAAAUUGUUCCAACCCUUAGGCUAAGCUACCAUGAUGAUGAUGAGGACAAUCGGAAGUUUCGGAACGCUUUAAAGGUGGAUGAAGCCAAAGUUGUUCAAAGUAAACAAACACACAGGUGCUGCUGGAAUAGAAGCUGCAGCAGGGCUAAUGAAUGCCAACGUUGCUCAUAAAGAGGCUUCUGAAGGGAAAUUAUACCCAUGGCAUGCUAAAGGAUCUUCAAGACCAGUAUUGAGAAAGAUUUUAGCAGUGUAAUAUACAGCAAAAUGGAGUAAACGGUCUCAUAUGUUCAUUGAAUCAGCAUUUUAAUAACAAUCAAAGUCUCAAGUGUCAUCGCCAUUUGUUGACCCGUUUUCCCCUGUGAAGCUACCAGAUAACUGGGAGAAUACACCCCUUAGCCAUUAUAGUUGGUCCUACGGGACGUGACAUGGUGGUUGUGGGCUUGAUCUCUUAAAGGGUGGUUUUGUUCCAACGGUGGAAAUAGAAGGCGGUGGGUGGUGGUUGAUGUGGGCGGUAACAGAGCGAGAGAUAGUGAGGUAGCGACCGGAUAUGGGUGACGCCCGCGGGGAGGGAUUUAUUGGAGACGGUGAGGGGUAGUCGCUGGUCUUUAGUCUUUAUGACAUUGCAUCUAAAUAUUUUUAAAGGUUGCAAAUAGUCCCUAACAAGAUAUAAAGUUGUAUCUUAUUAUUGCAAUAAAAUUUAACCUUAUUAUUAGUUGGAAAA